UNGGACAUUUGACACAGGGGCUUUACACG
rnacentral:piRNA from 1 species